UGUUUAUACUUUAGGCGUAAGUACACGUACGAGAGGCCGCUAUAAAUACGGGCUGGCAGAGCACAGAACUGGCACAAGUGACUGCCUUUGCCUGGAUAACAACUCAUCUGCAAGCACCAAGAAAGUCACGAUGAAGAGGCUGGCACUCAUACUGGUUGUCGUUCUUCUCUGCGAAGUGGUGUCAACGGAAGCGGCACGCCGUCCAUCCGGAGGAGCGCGCAGUACAAAGCGAGUCAUGUGUGGUGGCAAACUAUGUAAACCGGGUGAAUUCUGCGGUGACUUCAUAGAACCCCCCCAAUGUGCUCAUCGCAACCCUGAUUUUGGUAGAUGAGAAUUAAAUCUCCUGCCCAAUAAGACAAAUCGGGCCGAUAGAUAGCUGCAGCAAGGAAAACACACUGGAGGAACAUGAUCGGCAUCGACCUGUUGACCAACUGAAUAAAGUUACUUGUACUCACAAAGAA